rnacentral:lncRNA from 1 species
UGCUUAACCAACUGAGCUACCCAGAUACCCUCAGUCUUUUGGAUUUUAUUUUUUUUUAAUAUUUUAUUAAUUUAUUCAUGACAGACACAGAGUAAGAGGCAGUGGAAGAAGGAGACUUCAUGCAGGGAGCCCGAUGCGGGACUCUAUCUGGGGACUGCAGGAUCACGCCCUGGUCCGAAGGCAGGCGCUCAACCGCUGAGCCACCAAGGCGUCCCUGGAUUUUCUAUGUAGCAGCAGUAAAACCAUUUAAGUAUUCAAUGGGAAAAGAUGUGGCCCUCGGGAGUCAUCUUAUUAGCAUGCAAGAACAAGGGGAGGAAAGUGAUGUUAUAAAUGAAUAGAUGACUUACUCAAGAUCACACACCUGGGAAAUGGAAGAUAUACAAUUCAAAUUGAUUUUCAGUCCUGUGGGCUUCGUAAGAUACAUGCCAUAUUCUAUCCGAAGACAUAGAACAAAUAUAAGUGUAUAGAAAUUCUCAAGUCUUUUGUACUAUAUCUGCCAUUUGGGUUUACAUAAAACACUGCCUUGUUGAAUUAUUAUAGCUAGCAAGUAAAAGUAUAGUAUAUGCCUUCAUUUCACAUAUGCUUUUGAUAUAUCUUGCUGAAUUUCUAUAGAUGUCAUUGAAGAUUUUUCCCAUUUUGCACCUUCAUUUAGUUUAUUAAUAUUCAAUAUUAUAUAUAUGUGUGUGUGUAUACAUUUUAUAUUAAAUUUAAAAAUAUUUGACAGAUCAACUUUUAAACUAGUCCUUUUUUGACAAAUUUUUGGAGUGGCACAUGAUAUUUUUUCUCCAAGUCAUUAAUCUGUUUUAAACAUGCAUCUAUGUUUUCUAAAGAUUAACAAUUAAAAAUGACCUUUUAAAUUCUUAACUGUGGUAAAAAUAUAACAAAUAUUUUUAACAUAUAACAAGAAUGAAAGAAAACCUAACUCUGGGAAACGAGCUAGGGGUGGUNGUACUGAGGGGGGCACUUGACGGGAUGAGCGCUGGGUGUUAUUCUGCAUGUUGGUAAAUUGAACACCAAUAAAAAAUAAAUUUAUUUUAAAAAAAUAAAACCC